rnacentral:rRNA from 1 species
AUUCAGAGAUGGAUUUGUGCCUUCGGGAACCGUGAGACAGGUGCUGCAUGGCUGUCGUCAGCUCGUGUUGUGAAAUGUUGGGUUAAGUCCCGCAACGAGCGCAACCCUUAUCCUUUGUUGCCAGCGGUCAGGCCGGGAACUCAAAGGAGACUGCCAGUGAUAAACUGGAGGAAGGUGGGGAUGACGUCAAGUCAUCAUGGCCCUUACGACCAGGGCUACACACGUGCUACAAUGGCGCAUACAAAGAGAAGCGACCUCGCGAGAGCAAGCGGACCUCAUAAAGUGCGUCGUAGUCCGGAUUGGAGUCUGCAACUCGACUCCAUGAAGUCGGAAUCGCUAGUAAUCGUGGAUCAGAAUGCCACGGUGAAUACGUUCCCGGGCCUUGUACACACCGCCCGUCACACCAUGGGAGUGGGUUGCAAAAGAAGUAGGUAGCUUAACCUUCGGGAGGGCGCUUACCACUUUGUGAUUCAUGACUGGGGUGAAGUCGUAACAAGGUAACCGUAGGGGAACCUGCGGUUGGAUCACCUCCUUA